CAAAUGCCAGAGGAAGGUCAAUGUUCUAAGGAAUGGGAAGGGGUGGCACCUUCGGCUUUGAAGCCUGGAUUGGGGAACAAGGGUAUUAGUCUCUGUUCUUUAUCUGAAUAUUUUAAGAAUGUCAUCAAAGAAGAACCAAAUGUGCCUGCCAGUGUUCCCAAGGGCAGCCCCAGUACGCACAGGGCCACAGCCGGCCAUGGGCGCAUGAGGCCCUGAGAAUACCACCUCCCACUCACUGCUCUCACCCAGUGCCCCUCUCCCAACUGGCAACCUGGCCAAGGUGUCCAAUCUGGAGGGGAACUCAGACUUCACCUGGCCCAGGUGGACGCCUCUUUCUCUGACUUCUUGUUUUCUUUUUUAAGCUCUGGAAACCAUUGUGUAAAAGACAGUAUACAAGGAGGCAGAUCCAAUCAGGCACACACAGCUCAGAGGUUCUAAGGCCCCAAGGGGCGCAUCAGAAGCAUCUUCACAAGGGUGCAAAUGGACUCUUUGGCCUUCACUCAAGUUUGGUAGAGCUCAUGUGGUUUUCUAAAAAUCAGGAGAUUUCUCAUAAAAAUCCAAGUAUCUAGAAUCCUUUGAAGAUCCAUCAGAAAAUUAGAACCUGGUGUCUCUAGGUCUGCAUUUUAAUGUUUUAACAACUGCCUGGAACUGCGCAGUGGCCAUGCUCUAGAGGAGGUGGUGCGUCCAGGCUGGGACCACCCUGCUGCCUCCCACCUCACCCCUGUAGGCAUGCGAGUUUAUGGCUCCUACACACCAAACUGAAGAAGGCAGAUGGUCCCAAGCCAGCCCCUUACCUUCACAGAUGAGAACACUGGACCAAAGCUCGCCUCCCCACAGUCUCUCCCACUGCUCUCUGGGUCUCCCUGUCCCUCCAGCUCUCAUGGCUUUGGUUUGCUCACCAUUCCCCAUCUCUGAUAGGUCUUCUUCCUCUAUUUGACUUAGGUCAGGCCUAUUCACCCCUCAGGACCCAACUUCUCCAGCCCACUGUGACCUUUCUCUGCUCAUAUCUGCAUAGCACAGUGUGUUCACAGCUAGUGGGGGAGGGCAUCCCAUGGCUGAACCCCACGUCUUUGCUUUUCCCAGGAUCAUCCAUAAAAUGGCACUGGGCACACAGCAGAUAACACCCACUUGGUCCUUGAUUAGAGUCCUGUACUAAGCAAUUUACUUAGGACUUGUCUUUCCCCAAGACAAGAUUCCCCAAAACUCCAAGACUGCCAAAAUUGGAUCACAUAUAUAGACAGAAUUAUUGUUGCCAUUUUACAUUCAAGUUUAUUGAGGUUUAGAGAAGUAACUCAUUCAAGAUCACACAGGUUGUAAGUGGUAGGGCCAGAUACAAACCCAGGCUUGUCUGACUGCACAGCCUGUAUUCCUGACCACUUUGCUAAGCUGCCUAUAAAUGCUGAAUGAACAGAUGGGUGGAUGAAUAGACUGAUUAUUUUCUAUUUGCCCCUGCCAGAGCCAUUCUUUGUUCUCCUCCAGCCUGCUCAGUGCUCCAGGAGUGACCUCUAUGGACACCUUGCCACCUGGCUUCUAGCUGGAUUCAUCCAAUGGGAAGGAAACACCAAGAUUUAUGAGGGUAGGAAGAAAGAAAUGUUGAUUUUUUUCUUUCCUGCACCCUCCCCUGCAAGUCACCACAGCUCUGGUGGUGGCUGCAUCCUCCCUUCAGCUCUCUCCAGGUUUGGGGAGCCCCAUUCCCUCUGCUCUCAGCUGUGGGGAGGUAACAGCUUCCUCCCCUUGCUAGUCCCUGGGUGCCUCAACCUCACUUAUGGCUUCCCUUCAUCUAGUGGUUCUCAACCUCAACCAGUGACGACGUUGCCCUGUAGGGAACAUUUGUCAAUGUGUGGGGACAUUUUUGGUUGUCACAGUUCAGAGGUGGUGCUAUGGGCAUGUAGUAGGUAGAGGCCAGGGAUGCUGCUAAACAUCCUACAUGCACAGGACGGCCCCCCUCCCCAAAAUGUCAACAGAGCUGAGGCUGAGCCCUGCCUUACCCCUACCCAGAGCCCUGCACAACCAUGAACAGUCCCUUCAGUGAAGUCUCUUAAAGUCAAUAGUCUAGUAGGUGGAUGGAACUCAGUUCACUGUUUAUUGGGAAAUAGAGGCCUAGGUUUCCAUUCUAGGCAGAGGAGUAGGAGCUCAUCUCCUCAGCUCCUUUUUUCCUGGAAGGGGGCUCCCUAGCUUACCCCCUCCUCCCCAGCUUUCUGCAUAGAGAGGUGGCCACAGAUGAGAAGCAGCCACUUGAGAUGAACAGCAUGCUACAGAGCUUUCCCUUUCUGUCUGAAGGUGGAAACAAUUCCCAGGUCUGAAGGGAAAGGAUUAAGGCACCAUCAUUUGAAAUUCUAAAAGUACUUGGGCAAAAACCUUUCAAAUAUUAGUCAUUUGCUUUUUCUUAAUUUUUUAGCUAUUUUAAUAUGGAACAAAUGGCCUGGCUUCCCAAAUUUGCCUGUAGCCCCAGCUCCCACAGAUGCAAUCAUAUGACAGAUGUAAACAUUUCCUGUAAACAGAUGUAAAAAAAAGCUUUUAUUUUUAAAGUAAAAAAAUCCCUGUAAUUAAAGAUAUGCACAACCACCUCAAAUUACUGGGUGUAUAUACAUAUAUGUAUUUUUUCUCCCCUUGAUUUUAAAAUGGAUACAUCCAGCAUGAAUGAAAACAAAUAAGCAUUUCAUAAGAGUUAAAAGCGUGCACUUCUUAUUCAGUAGGGACACACAUCACUGAAAAGGGGUUAAAUUAAAUUAUAGCUCGUUAAUAGUACAUUCAGCUCAAAGCUUAUAAAAAUACUCGCACUUGUUCACUUCCAACCAUACCAAAGAAUAAAGAAUGUAUUCAAACAAAUAACACCCCAAGGCAACAAGGCCUGUGAAAAUGACCUGGUUUUCAGAGGGGCUUUCAGCCCCUAGGGCAGGAGGGGAAGGGCACCUCCCAGCCUCUAAACCUUUCUGGGCUUUGCAGUUAGACUCAGUUUUGUGUGCACCUCGCUGUCUUGUUUCUUGUGGCUACCUCCUGAGCUCAGGGGGAAAGAGGAAGGCAGAUGUGAGCUUUGCCGUGGCUGUUCCAGGGCAGAAUAAUGAAGGUCUGUCCCUGGAGCCUUGAUGUGUAAAGGGGCCUCAGGGUAUGAAGGAGCAGGGUCUAGGCCAGAGAUGCUCUCGGUACUAGUGUCUGCCCCAAACUUGGCAUUCCUUCAUUCAGCGAGCAUUCCUUUGGCCUCAACAGGGUCAGGCCUUUCUGUGCAAGAGGCAAAGCCAGCCCCUCCUCCCGGGCAAGCCCCGCCCUCUCCAGUACCGACCCUGCAUUCUGCCUGCUCCUUGGUGAUACCACUCUGCAGAGCCUCCCAAACUGUUCAAUCACCUCUGCCUCUUGUGGAAGGAAUUUCCAUGGGCGUGGCUGGUUUUCAUUGUUUUUCACUGCUGUGGGGCCCCUUCGAAGGUGAGGACUGAACAGAAAGCACUUCAAGAUUUAUGCUUUAUUAGAGCAUUAUUUACAAUAGCCAAGAUAUGGAAGCAACUGAAGCAUCCAUCAAUAAAUGAAUGGACAAAGAAGAA